AUGUUACAGUACAUUGAAUGCCUGUGUCAAUGUGGUUUCUGUGGCUAUAACUGCUCUUUUCUUCUUAGGUACAGGAAACAAGUCAAUCAUUUUCACAUGUGUUGGAACCAUAUUCAACAAAGAAACGACACAAUUAGAUCACCAAUGUUCCGCGCUUUUCUAUUGCUGUUACUGGCAGGUCCUGCACACACUAGUGUGAAGGUAAACCAGUGGACGUCUGAAACUCGCUACACAUUGGGAGACACAGCCAUUUUGCAUUGCAACAUAACCUCCGAUCAGGAGGUGAUAGAGAACUGUGAAAUGCAUUGGGUAAUCAUGGAUAUCAACAACAAAAACCGAACAAUAGAUGUCCUGAAGACAGAGUUGUAUAAGCAACGUGUAAACAUUGAGUCAAUUGAAAGCACCACUUCCAUGACAUUAAGAAACCUGACCUUACAUGACAGAGAUAUGCCAAACUGUACAGCAGAGUGCUACUUUGAUGGACAAUAUAAAAGAUAUUUUGGGAUGGGUUCUGUUCAGAUUUUCGAAGAGAUGGAAGUAAAGGAAGUCACCCAGGACAAGACAACUGUGGCUCCAAGUGGUAAGUCACUAUAA
rnacentral:lncRNA from 8 species